rnacentral:rRNA from 1 species
AUACGAAGGGUGCAAGCGUUACUCGGAAUUACUGGGCGUAAAGCGUGCGUAGGUGGUUCGUUAAGUCUGAUGUGAAAGCCCUGGGCUCAACCUGGGAAUGGCAUUGGAUACUGGCGACCUAGAGUGCGGUAGAGGGGUGUGGAAUUCCCGGUGUAGCAGUGAAAUGCGUAGAUAUCGGGAGGAACAUCUGUGGCGAAGGCGACACCCUGGACCAGCACUGACACUGAGGCACGAAAGCGUGGGGAGCAAACA